rnacentral:rRNA from 1 species
UACGAAGGGGGCUAGCGUUGCUCGGAAUCACUGGGCGUAAAGCGCACGUAGGCGGGUCCUUAAGUCAGGGGUGAAAUCCUGGAGCUCAACUCCAGAACUGCCUUUGAUACUGGGAAUCUCGAGUCCGGGAGAGGUGAGUGGAACUGCGAGUGUAGAGGUGAAAUUCGUAGAUAUUCGCAAGAACACCAGUGGCGAAGGCGGCUCACUGGCCCGGUACUGACGCUGAGGCACGAAAGCGUGGGGAGCAAUCAGG